CCUACGGGGGGCAGCAGUGAGGAAUAUUGGUCAAUGGACGAGAGUCUGAACCAGCCAAGUCGCGUGAAGGAUGACUGCCCUAUGGGUUGUAAACUUCUUUUAUAUGGGAAUAAAAUGUUCCACGUGUGGGCUUUUGUAUGUACCAUAUGAAUAAGGAUCGGCUAACUCCGUGCCAGCAGCCGCGGUAAUACGGAGGAUCCGAGCGUUAUCCGGAUUUAUUGGGUUUAAAGGGAGCGUAGGUGGAUUGUUAAGUCAGUUGUGAAAGUUUGCGGCUCAACCGUAAAAUUGCAAUUGAUACUGGCAGUCUUGAGUACAGUUGAGGUAGGCGGAAUUCGUGGUGUAGCGGUGAAAUGCUUAGAUAUCACGAAGAACUCCGAUUGCGAAGGCAGCUUACUAAACUGCCACUGACAUUGAUGCUCGAAAGUGUGGGUAUCAAACAGGAUUAGAUACCCCAGUAGUC
rnacentral:rRNA from 1 species